rnacentral:pre_miRNA from 1 species
UUGUUGUUCGGACCGUCGGUCUACCGAGCAAUUUUACCUGCGCGCUAGAAGAUCUUCCCUUUCUCGU